GGAUGAGUCAUGGAAAAGGGAGGUUUGCACAUGGAAUAUUUGGACCAAGUCAUUAAAGUCUUACAAAUGGGAUGAUUAAUGAAGAGGCAACUAUUUGUUUUUAAACCUUUUAGUGGGUAUACUUCCCAAGUCCAGGAAGAUAUAUGGCAACGUAGAAUCACCAAUUCAAAGGGUAAAAAAAAAAAAAAAUUAUGUUGAAUUAGUGAGCUGCUGCAAGCUCAACGCAGACCUUUAAGUGUCAUACAGGGACGUUCUUGUUUGGUGAAGGCAACCCAGCAUCGGGACCUUCAUGGUAGACAGCAAAUUUAGUUCCAUUUACGAGAACAAAGUAUAUUUAUCCGUGAAAGCAACAUACGGGUUUUGCACAUCGCUUCGAUCUCGUUGUUCCGUUUUUGCCAUGAUGUUGAAUUCGGGCCUUCUUCGAAGUGAAGUAAGGUGGAAGAAAAAUAGUUCUUGGCAUAUAAGAUUGGGAAGCCCGGGAUCUAAUUUGUGGUUAGCUUGGAGCAGAUAAGGUGCUAGCAAACCAUGCAAGGAUAUGUAGGCGAGUCCCUUGAAGACUCUGAUCCAGGAAUGUGAUGUUAGUAUAGGGCAAAAAUGUAACUUAGGCUUGCGGAAUGUGACAAAUAGGCUUCGCUACCUAGAAAAGGAUUUUCUCGUACAUUCUACCAAGUGUUUGCUUCUCAAGGAGUGUAUUAGUUGUGGGCAAAUUGCAAUUUGGUUUUCCACAUUCAAAUUUUAAUUUUCUAGUUUGAUAGGAAUUGAUUAGUACUUAAUAAUGUUUUCGCUGGACCUGGUAA